GAUGAAGAACGUAGCGAAAUGCGAUACUUGGUGUGAAUUGCAGAAUCCCGUGAACCAUCGAGUCUUUGAACGCAAGUUGCGCCCGAAGCCAUCAGGUUGAGGGCACGUCUGCCUGGGCGUCACAUAUCGUUGCCCAAUGCCUAUUGCAGUGCAAUAGGAAUUUCUAGGGCGAAUGAUGGCUUCCCGUGAGCGUUGUUGCCUCGCGGUUGGUUGAAAAUCGAGUCCUUGGUAGGGUGUGCCAUGGUAGAUGGUGGUCGAGUUAGAACGAUACCGAUCAUGUGCAUGCUCCCCAAAAUAUGGCCUCUAUGACCCACACGCGUCUUUUGACGCUCAUGACGAGACCUCAGGUCAGGCGGGGCUAUCCGCUGAAUUUAAGCAUAUCAAUAAGCGGAGGA
rnacentral:misc_RNA from 1 species